AUAAUGGGUCAGCGACUUAUAUUCUGUAGCAAGGUUAACCGAAUAGGGGAGCCGAAGGGAAACCGAGUCUUAACUGGGCGUUAAGUUGCAGGGUAUAGACCCGAAACCCGGUGAUCUAGCCAUGGGCAGGUUGAAGGUUGGGUAACACUAACUGGAGGACCGAACCGACUAAUGUUGAAAAAUUAGCGGAUGACUUGUGGCUGGGGGUGAAAGGCCAAUCAAACCGGGAGAUAGCUGGUUCUCCCCGAAAGCUAUUUAGGUAGCGCCUCGUGAAUUCAUCUCCGGGGGUAGAGCACUGUUUCGGCAAGGGGGUCAUCCCGACUUACCAACCCGAUGCAAACUGCGAAUACCGGAGAAUGUUAUCACGGGAGACACACGGCGGGUGCUAACGUCCGUCGUGAAGAGGGAAACAACCCAGACCGCCAGCUAAGGUCCCAAAGUCAUGGUUAAGUGGGAAACGAUGUGGGAAGGCCCAGACAGCCAGGAUGUUGGCUUAGAAGCAGCCAUCAUUUAAAGAAAGCGUAAUAGCUCACUGGUCGAGUCGGCCUGCGCGGAAGAUGUAACGGGGCUAAACCAUGCACCGAAGCUGCGGCAGCGACGCUGAUGCGUUGUUGGGUAGGGGAGCGUUCUGUAAGCCUGUGA
rnacentral:rRNA from 1 species